AAGCCAUGUGUUGGAAAAUUUAUUAUCAUUACUUUCAUCCUCUCCCAAGCUUGUGCAACAUGUUCAUGAUCUUUUUGUUGAAAGUUCAUUAUUUCAUUUCUAAGGGU
rfam:Hordeum vulgare subsp. vulgare, WGS project CAJW01000000 data, contig: morex_contig_182871